rnacentral:rRNA from 1 species
GACAGAGGGUGCAAACGUUGUUCGGAAUUACUGGGCGUAAAGCGCGUGUAGGCGGCCCUGCAAGUCGGAUGUGAAAUCCCACGGCUCAACCGUGGAAGUGCAUUCGAAACUGCAGGGCUAGAGUCCUGGAGAGGAAGGUGGAAUGCUUGGUGUAGAGGUGAAAUUCGUAGAUAUCAAGCGGAACACCGGUGGCGGAAGGCGGCCUCUGGACAGUGACUGGACGCUGAGACGC